rnacentral:rRNA from 1 species
UACGUAGGGGGCAAGCGUUGUCCGGAUUUAUUGGGCGUAAAGAGCGUGUAGGCGGCCUGGUAGGUCAGCUGUGAAAACUCGAGGCUCAACUUCGAGCUGUCGGUGGAAACUUUCUGGCUAGAGUCCGGAAGAGGAGAAUGGAAUUCCUGGUGUAGCGGUGAAAUGCGCAGAUAUCAGGAAGAACACCCGUGGCGAAGGCGGUUCUCUGGGACGGUACUGACGCUGAGACGCGAAAGCGUGGGGAGCGAACAGG